UAUAGCUUUUCAACGCCUACUCGCAUGCGUCAAUCACAUAUUCAGAGCUCAAGUUAUGGCCUGCAGAGCGAGCAAGGGUCAAUAUGCAAAUAAUAACAUUAAAACUCAUCUAGGACCCAAAGUUUAGAAAUAUGCUAAAAAACUAAUCUGGACUAUAAAAAGCUUUCAAAAUGUCACACUACAAAACUAGAAAUAUGUGCCCAAAUGCAUUGACGACCCCUCUUUUUGGGUUGCUACCGAAGUGUUAAAGGGAUUCGACAAAAAAAGUCCAACUCUGUCUGACAAACAAAUUGUCAGAUAGAGCGUCAAGGGGAAACAAUCCUUGGUUGGGGAAGCCUUCCCUGAACAAACCAAAAGAACAUCCCAUACGGGCAAACAUAAAAUCAAAUUGAGAAGAUCACUCAAUUGUGGUAAAACAUGCGAAAAGAUAAAGACGAAAUCACCAAACAUUCUAGGUAACGACAAGUUCAGCGCCAAUAAGUUUGAUGCAUUACAAGCUAUAACACCAACAUAACCGGCCCACCGUCCGCAUUCUCUUCAUCACCCGAGAUCUCAACAAUCUCACCACCUAUAACUACUUUGGUGUAAUCCAUCCCAUCCGUAGUGAGAACUACUCCAUGAUUCAACAACUGGACUUGAGCAAGAACAUUUUCGAACGAAUUUCCUUACAUACAACAUAUAAGUUGUUAACCAAAGCGGCCUUUUGGUCUUCUGCAUCCCUCUUUUCCUGCUCCACAGCAUCAACCUUGCUAGACAACUCAGAUAAUAUGGAUCUGGUCUUUUUAGCACUCUUCUCCAAAUGAACUAUUCUUUCUUCUAGGAAUUUCUUCUCGUCAAUAAGAACUGAAGAGUCUAUUCUAACUCCCGCCAGUUAAGAAGAAAGAUCCUUUCUCUCUUUGUACAAAGAUUUUAAGUCUUCGUCACCUUUCAACAAUUUGGAGUUGGCUUCAGAAAGAAGCUCCUUAGCAUGAGCGAAUACGUCGGCUUGCAGUAGAUAAAAAUUGUUGAAAUGGUUUGUUUGGGGAUGUUCUACCGCUCCAGAAAAUUAACCCUCUCUUUUCGGUGACUUGUGAGACUUCCACCGUGCGACUUGUGAAACUCUUCCAUCUUGCGAGACUUCUCCAUUCCACCUUCAUGACUUGGUGAAUUUGAUGAAUGAUGGUGAUAUUGAUAAAAGAAUUUCAACAUUUAGAAGCACAAGAUGAAUAGAUAGAUGUCGAUACUUAAGUUUUCUCUGUUUGUUUUGUUUUAUAGACGAAUAUUUUUAUUUUAAAGAUGUUAUUUUGAUUGUCUCCUUUUCUCUAGAACAUAAAUCAGAAAAAUUAUAUCAGUACGUCAUAUGAAUGCCCAACAAUUACAACACCUCAUCAAUUAUCAUUAUUUGCUUGACAAGUUGCUAUCAUAUGUAGAGCAAUAUAUGAUGUUUGACCACUAUUACAGGGGACAAUGAACUUUAACUAUAGUA